rnacentral:rRNA from 1 species
CAACGUAAACAAACCCUACUUCCAGGAUGGGGACAACAGACGGAAACGACUGCUAAUACCGAAUAAGUUCCAAGAGCCGCAUGGCCCAUGGAAGAAAAGGUGGCCUCUACCUGUAAGCUAUCGCCUGAAGAGGGGUUUGCGUCUGAUUAGCUGGUUGGAGGGGUAACGGCCCACCAAGGCGACGAUCAGUAGCCGGUCUGAGAGGAUGAACGGCCACACUGGAACUGAGACACGGUCCAG